GUGGGGAAUAUUGGACAAUGGGCGAAAGCCUGAUCCAGCCAUGCCGCGUGUGUGAAGAAGGUCUUCGGAUUGUAAAGCACUUUAAGUUGGGAGGAAGGGCAGUAAGUUAAUACCUUGCUGUUUUGACGUUACCGACAGAAUAAGCACCGGCUAACUUCGUGCCAGCAGCCGCGGUAAUACGAAGGGUGCAAGCGUUAAUCGGAAUUACUGGGCGUAAAGCGCGCGUAGGUGGUUUUGUAAGUUGGAGGUGAAAUCCCCGGGCUCAACCUGGGAACUGCCUCCAAAACUGCAUGACUAGAGUACGGUAGAGAGUAGUGGAAUUUCCUGUGUAGCGGUGAAAUGCGUAGAUAUAGGAAGGAACACCAGUGGCGAAGGCGACUACCUGGACUGAUACUGACACUGAGGUGCGAAAGCGUGGGGAGCAAACAGGAUUAGAUACCCGGUAGUCC
rnacentral:rRNA from 1 species